GGUAAUGCCGGAUGCUCCAGUUGAUCGCAUGGUCUUCUGGGAAAGCUUUCGCGGUAUGGGAUGGGGUCGCGUCCUAUCAGCUUGACGGCGGGGUAACGGCCCACCGUGGCUUCGACGGGUAGCCGGCCUGAGAGGGCGACCGGCCACAUUGGGACUGAGAUACGGCCCAGACUCCUACGGGAGGCAGCAGUGGGGAAUAUUGCACAAUGGGCGCAAGCCUGAUGCAGCGACGCCGCGUGAGGGAUGGAGGCCUUCGGGUUGUAAACCUCUUUUAUCGGGGAGCAAGCGAGAGUGAGUUUACCCGUUGAAUAAGCACCGGCUAACUACGUGCCAGCAGCCGCGGUAAUACGUAGGGUGCAAGCGUUAUCCGGAAUUAUUGGGCGUAAAGGGCUCGUAGGCGGUUCGUCGCGUCCGGUGUGAAAGUCCAUCGCUUAACGGUGGAUCCGCGCCGGGUACGGGCGGGCUUGAGUGCGGUAGGGGAGACUGGAAUUCCCGGUGUAACGGUGGAAUGUGUAGAUAUCGGAAAAA
rnacentral:rRNA from 1 species